rnacentral:rRNA from 1 species
GACGAACGCUGGCGGCGUGCUUAACACAUGCAAGUCGAACGCUGAAGCUCAGCUUGCUGGGUGGAUGAGUGGCGAACGGGUGAAUAACACGUGAGUAACCUGCCCUCUUCUUUGGGAUAACGCCCGGAAACGGGUGCUAAUACUGGAUAUUCACUGAUUCUCGCAUGGGGGUUGGUGGAAAGGUUUUUUCUGGUGGGGGAUGGGCUCGCGGCCUAUCAGCUUGUUGGUGGGGUGAUGGCCUACCAAGGCUUUGACGGGUAGCCGGCCUGAGAGGGUGACCGGUCACAUUGGGACUGAGAUACGGCCCAGACUCCUACGGGAGGCAGCAGUGGGGAAUAUUGCACAAUGGGCGAAAGCCUGAUGCAGCGACGCCGCGUGAGGGAUGGAGGCCUUCGGGUUGUAAACCUCUUUCGCUCAUGGUCAAGCCGCAGCUUUGGGUUGUGGUGAGGGUAGUGGGUAAAGAAGCGCCGGCUAACUACGUG